rnacentral:rRNA from 2 species
CUGGUGUCAGCCGCCGCGGUAAUACCAGCACCCCGAGUGGUCGGGACGUUUAUUGGGCCUAAAGCAUCCGUAGCCGGUUCUACAAGUCUUCCGUUAAAUCCACCUGCUUAACAGAUGGGCUGCGGAAGAUACUAUAGAGCUAGGAGGCGGGAGAGGCAAGCGGUACUCGAUGGGUAGGGGUAAAAUCCGUUGAUCCAUUGAAGACCACCAGUGGCGAAGGCGGCUUGCCAGAACGCGCUCGACGGUGAGGGAUGAAAGCUGGGGGAGCAAACCGGAUUAGAUACCCGGGUAGUCCCAGCUGUGAACGAUGCAGACUCGGUGAUGAGUUGGCUUAUUGCUAACUCAGUGCCGCAGGGAAGCCGUUAAGUUUGCCGCCUGGGGAGUACGGUCGCAAGACUGAAACUUAAAG